rnacentral:rRNA from 1 species
UCUAAGCACAUGCCUUAAAACGGUGAAGCCGCGAAUAGCUCAUUACAACAGCCAUCGUUUAUUAGAAUAUCGUUAUCCUACUUGGAUAACUGUGGCAAUUCUAGAGCUAAUACAUGCAAUAAAGCUCUGCCCGCAAGGAACGAGCGCAUUUAUUAGAAUAAAAACCAAUCGGGUUUCGGCCCGUAAUUUGGUGAAUCUGAAUAACUUUGCCAAUCGCACAGUCCUAGUACUGGCGAUGUAUCUUUCAAGUGUCUGCCUUAUCAACUUUCGAUGGUACGCUAUACGCCUACCAUGGUAGUAACGGGUAACGGAGAAUAAGGGUUCGACUCCGGAGAGGGAGCCUGAGAAACGGCUACCACAUCCAAGGAAGGCAGCAGGCGCGCAAAUUACCCACUUCCAGAACGGAGAGGUAGUGACGAAAAAUAACGAGACAGUCCUCUUCGAGGUCUGUCAUCGGAAUGGGUACAAUUUAAU